GCCUUCUUAGUUCAGUGGUAGAGCGUUGGUCUCGUAAACCAAAGGUCGAGAGUUCAAUCCUCUCAGGAGGCA
rnacentral:tRNA from 1 species